AUGUUCAUUUCAGCAGCACACAUACUAAAACUGGAAUGAUAUAGAGAAGAUUAGCAUGGCUCCUGCUCAAGGAUGGCAUGAAAAUUUGUGGUGUUUCAUAUUAAA
ensembl:snRNA U6 U6 spliceosomal RNA